rnacentral:rRNA from 1 species
UACGGAGGGUGCAAGCGUUAUCCGGAUUCACUGGGUUUAAAGGGUGCGUAGGCGGGCAGGUAAGUCCGUGGUGAAAUCUCUGAGCUUAACUCAGAAACUGCCAUGGAUACUAUUUGUCUUGAAUGUUGUGGAGGUAAGCGGAGUAUGUCAUGUAGCGGUGAAAUGCUUAGAUAUGACAUAGAACACCAAUUGCGAAGGCAGCUUACUACACAAAUAUUGACGCUGAGGCACGAAAGCGUGGGGAUCAAACAGG